CAGCUUCCUGAACUGCGGGGAGCUUGGUGGGCGGUCGCUGCAAGCCGGGCGUAGGCCGCAGAGGUCGCGAGUUCAGGCGUCCCGGCUCCCGUGUGACUGUCGUGAUGUUUUUCUCCCAGGCCGGGGCCCGGCCGCGGAUGUGGGAAGCCAGCCCGUCAGAACACAAGAAGUGGGUGGAAGUAUUUAAAGCAUGCGAUGAAGAAAACAAAGGCUGUCUAAGCAGAGAGAACUUUAAAGUUGCUGUUGUAAUGCUGUUUGGAUACAAGCCCUCCAAGAUAGAAGCUGAUGCUGUGAUGUCCUCAGUAGAUCCAAACACUUCCGGGAUAUUACUUAAGGAGUUUUUAGACAUUGUAAGGAAAAAGAAGGAAGCUCAACUAUAUUGGAAUGAAAUAAGACACAUCUUCACAGCUUUUGACAGGCACUAUCGUGGAUAUUUAACUCUGGAAGAUUUCAAAAAAGCAUUUAAGCAGGUGGCUCCCAAGUUAUCGGAAAGGAUUAUUCUCGAGGUAUUCAGCAGACUGAGAAUUUUCAGCAAGUGUUUACCCUGCCAUGUUGACUCAGAAGUCUAAUAAUCCCUACUCCAACCUCUUACUCAGCUGAAUCUCUCAUUCGGGCACACCCCUAACGUUUGCAGGGCCUGGGGCAAGGUACAAACAGAAGCCCGCAUGCUAUAUGUCUAGAGAUAUGAAAAUUAUAAAUCAAGAGUAUCCGGAAAGGGUCAUUGUGGUGCAUAGACCCAGAGUAUAGACAAAAUCUAAUUCAGGCUUUGUAAAAGACACCUUAUCACCCACACUCGAAUGUGUUCAAUACACCUCCCACCUCUCCUCAGGCAUAUCAAAGCACAUCAGGUCCACCCCUCUGGCCGGGCAGCACCUUCUUCAAGAGAAAUGGAGCCCUUCUACAAGCAUAAAAGCAAUUGCAAGAAUUAACUGGAAGCGCUCGAGGUCCUGUUGAGGGCGGCCUCUGUGUUUCGGUUCUCGCAGAUUCACUGGCAAGAGGGCCUGCUGAAUCAUCUUGCAGUUUUGAGGAUAAUGGGCCCCCUGGAUGAGCUAAUGAAAUGGAAAGAAGACCUUCCAGGCCUUUUCAGUGCACAGAGCAGGACUGAGCUGCCGCAGGCCCGAGAGCAGAUAGGGGAAAGGAAACCAGCUCUUCUGCUGUCAGAUGCACGUUGUCCCCAUGAGCGCACAGAUGUGCUUGCCACUGGUGUGAAACGUGCAGGAAGUUGAUUAUGCCCAGUAGAUGACCUGCUUUGGGGAAUGCCAGCUUCCCAAGUUCUAGGCCGGCUUCAUGCGCUUAUUUUCCUGGGAGUCCUAUUAUGUAUUGCCCGCUCUCCACAACCCUUAUGCCUUACCCUCUCCCAUAGCUCCGCAGUGGGUUUUUUCUGGUAAAAUGUAUGCAGUACCUCCCUUUGGUUGUGUUUGGGGCUGUGAAAGUCUCAGCAGCAAGUAGUCAGUACAUCAGAAACAAGCUCCUGUGGAAAGGAGCCCUGGAUUACCAGUGAUGGGACCUGGCUGUGGUCCCAACUCUGCCACUUGGUAAACUCUGACCUUGGGCAAAACUCAGGCACCCCUAGGAUUUCAUGUUCUUGCCUGUGAAUUAAGGAGCGGACCUCAGGAGUGGCAGGGGUUUCCUGCGGAUUACAGCUCUGAGCCAUACUCGCAACUUCCCUAGAGGGGGUCAAGGGCUUUCCUGGUGGUCCAGUGGUUAAGACUCCGUGCUUCCACUGCAGGGUGCACAGGUUUGAUCCUUGGUCGGGGAAGAUCCUGCAUGCUGCGUGGUGCGACCAAAAAAAAAAAAAGACAAGAAAAAAUGAAAUAUAGUAAAGUGGGUCAAAAUGGUUUCGAGGCGUAGCUCAGCGGGAGGAGUGCUACCUUCAGCCAGCAGUGUCCGCGGAUGGCCCAAGGAGAGGAAACAGGGUGAUGGUUGGCUGGCUACAUCUUGAUCCUUGAACAAACCCUUUCUCAGACCCUUUCUCAUGGAUCGUAGGAAGGCAACCUACUACAGAUUUGGACAACCUGGAAAGGACCCAUCUUGGCCUCGUGGGCACCUGGCUUAACCCUCUCUGUGGGGAUAAUAAUAAACAUGCUUGCCGUAUGGGGUUCUUAUAGGACUCAAUGAAUUCAUAUCAGUAAAGCCCUGAGAACAGGCUGAAUUCCCAUAGUUAUUAUAUCAUUGUACAAAACUAUGAAUCUUAGGAAAACAGGGCUAGCAUCCUCUGAAUGUGGUGUCCCUGUGCUGUUUCUCUUCGCUGCUAAAAUUUCCCUUGUCCAUUUGUUGGGGCUAGUGAUUCUCAGAACAGGGCAAAAGAUGGGAUACCCCGGAUCCUAUUGGAUUUAUAUGUGGAUCUGAAAGACAACUUGUUCAACUCUUUAUAUCAGAUUCCUUUCAAAUAGGACUGCUUCCGUGUGAGGUCCCCCAGCUCACAAAGACUGAGUUAUACCCCUUGCUGUACAGUUGUACAUACCCAGCAGGUGCAUAGAUGACCACGCAACAAAGCACGGAUUCAGCACCACAUCAGCCCAGGUUUAAAUCCCUCUCUCUUUGGGCACCCAGUUGUUUGACCUUGGGCCUCAGUUUCAAGUGUCUGUAAAAUGGGGCUACGAGUUGUGCUCCCCAGAAUCUUUGCAGAGAUUAAAGGAAGGUGUGAACGUGGAAACAUUUGUCCAGUCCAGUGCCUGGCCUGGCACCUCACAAACACUUAAUAAAGAGUGAAGUUAACCUU